UUAAUUGAAACCAAAAUAGAGGUUUAUCACUGUUAAUGAUACUACUGAGAUUAUUCUCCAAUUAAA
rnacentral:tRNA from 1 species